rnacentral:rRNA from 1 species
GAUGAACGCUGGCGGUGUGCCUAAUACAUGCAAGUCGAGCGAACAGACGAGGAGCUUACUCCUCUGACGUUAGCGGCGGACGGGUGAGUAACACGUGGAUAACCUACCUAUAAGACUGGGAUAACUUCGGGAAACCGGAGCUAAUACCGGAUAACAUGUUGAACCGCAUGGUUCAACAGUGAAGGACGGUCUUGCUGUCACUUAUAGAUGGAUCCGCGUCGCAUUAGCUAGUUGGUAAGGUAACGGCUUACCAAGGCAACGAUGCGUAGCCGACCUGAGAGGGUGAUCGGCCACACUGGAACUGAGACACGGUCCAGACUCCUACGGGAGGCAGCAGUAGGGAAUCUUCCGCAAUGGGCGAAAGCCUGACGGAGCAACGCCGCGUGAGUGAAGAAGGUCUUCGGAUCGUAAAACUCUGUUAUUAGGGAAGAACAAAUGUGUAAGUAACUAUGCACGUCUUGACGGUACCUAAUCAGAAAGCCACGGCUAACUACGUG